rnacentral:rRNA from 1 species
GGCUCAUUAAAUCAGUUAUCGUAUAUUUGAUAGUACCUACUACAUGGAUAACCGUGGUAAUUCUAGAGCUAAUACAUGCUUAAAAUCCCGACUUCGGAAGGGAUGUAUUUAUUAGAUUAAAAACCAAUGCCCUUCGGGGCUCACUGGUGAUUCAUAAUAACUUCUCGAAUCGCAUGGCCUUGUGCCGGCGAUGGUUCAUUCAAAUUUCUGCCCUAUCAACUUUCGACGGCUGGGUCUUGGCCAGCCGUGGUUACAACGGGUAACGGAGGGUUAGGGCUUGACCCCGGAGAAGGAGCCUGAGAAACGGCUACUACAUCCAAGGAAGGCAGCAGGCGCGCAAAUUACCCAAUCCCGACACGGGGAGGUAGUGACAAUAAAUACUGAUACAGGGCUCUUUUGGGUCUUGUAAUUGGAAUGAGUACAAUUUAAAUCCCUUAACGAGGAACAAUUGGAGGGCAAGUCUGGUGCCAGCAGCCGCGGUAAUUCCAGCUCCAAUAGCGUAUAUUAAAGUUGUUGCAGUUAAAAAGCUCGUAGUUGAACCUUGGGCCUGGCUGGCCGGUCUGCCUCACCGCAUGCACUGGUCCGGCCGGGCCUUUCCCUCUGGGGAUCCGCAUGCCCUUCACUGGGUGUGUCGGGGAACCAGGACUUUUACUGUGAAAAAAUUAGAGUGUUCAAAGCAGGCCUAUGCUCGAAUACAUUAGCAUGGAAUAAUAGAAUAGGACGUUGCGGUUCUAUUUUGUUGGUUUCUAGGACCGCCGUAAUGAUUAAUAGGGACAGUCGGGGGCGUCAGUAUUCAAUCGUCAGAGGUGAAAUUCUUGGAUCGAUUGAAGACUAACUACUGCGAAAGCAUUCGCCAAGGAUGUUUUCAUUAAUCAGGAACGAAAGUUAGGGGAUCGAAAACGAUCAGAUACCGUUGUAGUCUUAACCAUAAACUAUGCCGACUAGGGAUCGGGCGAUGUUAUUUCUUGACUCGCUCGGCACCUUACACGAAAGUAAAGUUUU